rnacentral:rRNA from 1 species
CCUACGGGUGGCAGCAGUGAGGAAUAUUGGUCAAUGGGCGAGAGCCUGAACCAGCCAAGUCGCGUGAUGGCGUACUGCCCUAUGGGUUGUAAACCUCUUUUGUCGGGGAGCAAAAGCCUGACGUGUCCGGCUGUGAGAGUACCCGAAACACAAGCAUCGGCGAACUCCGGGCCAGCAGCCGCGGUAAUACGGAGGAUGCGAGCGUUAUCCGGAUUGAUUGGGUUUAAAGGGUGCGCAGGCGGAUUUGUAAGGCAGCGGUAAAAUCGUGGGGCUCAACCCCAUCCCGCCGUUGAAACUGGGGAUCUAGAGUGUGCGAGAGGUAUGCGGAAUGCGUGGUGUAGCGGUGAAAUGCAUAGAUAUCACGCAGAACCCCGAUUGCGAAGGCAGCAUACCGGUGCACAACUGCCGCUCAGGCACGAAAGCGUGGGUAUCGAACAGGAUUAGAUACCCGGGUAGUC